rnacentral:tRNA from 2 species
GGGCGGUUAGCUCAGCUGGUUAGAGCGCCUGCCUUACAAGCAGGAUGUCGGGGGUUCGAAUCCCUCACUGCCCACCA